ACAUGCUUACAACAUAGCGUUAAUGCAUUGAAUCCCAUUAGAACUCUGAAGUUAAGCGCGCUCGGGCUAGAGUAGUACUGGGAUGGGUGACUGCUUGGGAAGUCCUAGUGUUUUACAUGCU
rfam:Picea glauca, whole genome shotgun sequence.